UGGAUUCAUCUGUGUAUUGAUGGGUAUGUAGAGACAAGCUGAAUCGGUAUUAUUGUGAUCAAUACUGUUCUGUUAAUAUUUAUAUUCUCUAUGUAUGUUUUUUGCAUAUUUUCAUAUCUUUAUGUAGAUAUUCAAGACGUGUUAUAUGGCUACAUGCAGGGACCUCCAAUCGGAAUCCACGUUUCAUUGCUAGAUAUUUUCUUGAUGCUGUGGAAACAGAAAAUGGUUGUCCACGCCUUGUGAGAGCAGAUAGGGGUUGUAAAAAUUCUUUAGUUGCCAUUAUACAGAUGUCUUUUAGAUACUGUCACCAUGACAGCUUAGCAGGAGUUAACAGUUUCAGAUAUGGGAAGUCUAUACAUAAUCAACGAGCAGAGUACUUUAAUGGAUACCUAAAAAAAUCAUGGAUAUCUUUCUGGCAAAAACAUUUUGAGGCAAUGGUGGAAGCUGGAAUUUUGGAACUAUCCAAUCCCAUACAUAUACACUGUGUCCAAUAUUGCUUUUUACCUCUAAUUGAAAGGCAGCUUUACUCUGAGCGCAUUGAAUAGAACAACCACAGGAUUCGUAAGCAGACUCUAGCUUCAGGACCAUUUGGAAAACCAGACAUGCUUUAUUUUUGUCCUCCAUCCGGAACUCCACAUUUGCUGUGCACAAUUGAUGAUGAUCUUCAGCAGCAUGCAGACACUAUGGCUUGUGAAAAGGGAGCAACCCUGACUGUGGCCAAUGUUGCUUUCAGGCAGUUGUGCUCCACUGUGUUUACUCUCCCCAGAUCAAUGGAUGGUUAUUCAGUUGAUGAUGCUGUGGCUUCCUAUCUAACGACUGCAAAUCACAUCACAACCCUUAUGGUCAGAAUGAAUCUGAUUGAGCCAGAUAACUUUGUACAGGCUUUUGAAAUAUAUGAAAAAAUCAUCAAUUCUUCUCAUACUAAAUAAAUUUUGUUGUUGUGAA